AACGCACCUUGCACCCUCUGGUAUUCCGGAGGGUAUGCCUGUCUGAGUGUCACGUCAAUCAUCGUCCCGACGGGUUCUGCCCGUCGGGGUCGGAUCUGGGUGUUGCCCUUCACGGGGCUCGCCUCAAAUGUCUCGGUGGUCUGCUUGCGGGCCGUGGUCUUGCGUGAUAUGUAUCGCUCGACUGUGGUUCGUUCGACCUCCUCGAAACCGCCCUUGCGCAAGCUCGGGAUUUACUGUGAUAGACCUCAGAUCAGGUAGGACUACCCGCUGAACUUAA
rnacentral:misc_RNA from 1 species